rnacentral:tmRNA from 1 species
GGGGAUGACAGGCUUCGACGGAGGAGGCUGGUCCCGGAUUGCGAGCCGAGAGGUGCCGACCUCGUAAACUCAGCACAAAACCUUAAGUGCCAACCGCACUUCCUACGCUGCUAUGCCCCUCGCUGCAUAAGCGAGAGCAUUAGCCGCAUGACCUCCGCGUGAGGUCACGUCUGCCCACCCCGCUCCCUGGCCGGUGGUGGAGCAGGCGCCACAAAGCCACGGGUGCCGACCGGACUGCCGCGAUCCGGUCGAAAGAGGACUUUCGGGUCCCAGCGGCUGGCGAGUGGCCCGUUUUGCCUGACUUCAGGUCGCCCGCGAGAUGAAAGCCAGGCUACGCUCGUAGAUAUUCGAGGGUCUAAUCUUUCGGACGCGGGUUCGAUUCCCGCCAUCUCCACCU